UGUCUACCUGAGGUCUUUUCAGAUAAGCAGUUCUUUUCUUUUGCUUUUGUAUCUGUGGCAUUUGGGUUUGUUCUCAUUUGCUGUAGCUAAAGACUUUGCCACUCUGCUAUUAUCAUCCCAUCAUAGCAUUACAGCAUGUAAAAGUUAACUGCACUUAGUAAGAGGAUAAUGAGAAAUCAGUCCCACACCUGCUAUGAAUUCCUGAGAGAAGUAGGGAUGAGUUUGGAAAAACAAUGGAGGAUGCACUUGCAGCCACUGUGUUCUAGGCUUUAAUCAUCAGUAACUGAAGAAAUGAGAACAGGGUUGCCAAAGCAGAAGCCCCCUUGAAGAUCCAUUGAAUUCACAUCUGCAUUUGCAGUGUUUUCCUAGUAUUACCCUUCAAUUCAGCAAGGCCUUGGAUACCUUGGAAACUCAUUCUUGUUCUUGUUUUUUUCCCACCUCUGACUUAAAACCAUGUGUAAAAUACUUAUACAGGAAUGGUGAUGUCAGCUGAGCAGAGUCACUUGCCUGGCUUAUUUCAAAGUCAAGUUUUAUGGAAUUUAUCAAAUGGUUUUGCAGAGUUACAAACCUACACAAAACUCCUCCUGAAAUAAACUGUUGUGUUAGCCAAGUUUGGUGGAUACAGAAGCAUAAUAAAAUGAGUACUUUCUUUGGCAUGUAAUAUUCAGCCCUUCACACUGUAGAUAGACGUUAAGAGACAGAGGAGAAUUUGCAGGCAGGGACUCCUGGGCUCUGGACCAGUUAAAAAGCUAUGGUUCCCUGAUGCCUCUCCCACCUCUCUGGCAGCAGUUGCUGUAGAAGUGGUGCAGAACAGGCAAUUCGCUCUUGGGACAUCACAGUUCACAGCACCAUGUGUUAACUUCGACAGGCAUUGAUUUCAAUUUAUGUUAACGUGCCAGGCUGCAAGCUGCAGCAGGAGGGGUCUCUGGUUCGUGACUCCUGUCAGAUUCAGAGAGCUGAGGUUAUCACCUCAGCAGUAACCUCUUUAGCCACCAGAGCUGAAUCCAAUUCAGUCAUGAAUUGGUGUCCUUAAGUAAUUUUCCUUUAUAAAGGCCCAAUGCAGUCAUAUUGAUGUCAAUAAAAAAAAAGUCCCAGAUGAGAUUCUGAUUGUUUCCUUAAUAUGAAUUUAAAAAAGCAGUUGAAAAGCUAAAACCAAAAUGACUCUGAGGAAUGGAUUGAAGACUAACAUAUCACUUUCAUAUUUCAAAAAUUUGUGUGUUAACAAUUUAAUCCUCACAGCUAGUUAAUAGGAAAAUAAUUACCACUCUGAAAGACUGAUCUACCUAAGAUUACAUUUUUAGUGAGAAAAUUUAUGCCUAAGGAAAAAAUUGUAUUAAUAUCUGGAUGGACCUAUCCACUCAACAUAUGCUUAGUCUUUCGUAUGUCAGAGCUGUGGAGAGGCAUCCAACCUAUAAUGGAGGAUAUAAAGUUUUGGUGAAAACUAAAGGCUAUUGUAGGUAAGCUGUCAUCUCAAAAAGGCUGAUGUUACUGUACUUUCUAAUACAGACAUAUAAAAACAUGUUGGAAAGGAAAAGUGUUGCUCCAGAAAAUGUCUUUCACUUUUGGUCUUUGGGCAUCCUUACAUCCUCCUGGCUUCUUUAGCAAACAAGCAACGUUAAAGCAAGUUAACUGCUGCCUUAUA